CUGCCUGCCACCAUGUAAGACCUGCCUUUGCCUCUCCUUUGUCCUCUGCCAUGAGUGUGAGGCCUCCCCAGCCAUGUGGAACUCAAAGGCUUGACUGAAGUCACGGGUCUCAUCAUUCCUUUCCUAAGCUUUCUUCAAACAGCAUGGUGCGUGGAUGAGGACACACGUGCUCUGUAGAAGGUGGGGCCACAAAGCCCUGCCGACCGACCUUUCCUGCCUUCUGCCUCUAAGGUGCAACCCCGAAAGCACCUGCUGGAACCUUUGGGGCUCAGGGAGCACAGCCUGGAAGCAGGGGGAUACUCCCCAGGGCUGCAGUCCACCUCGGAAGCUGCUCACCACAGGUGUCUGCUUACACUUCAAUUCAGAUCACAUAAGAUACACAUGCAGCUCUUAGGCUUCUGAGCCACCCUUCAAGAGCACAGCCACUCGUGGCUAAUGGCUGCUGACUGGAACCCUGGAUGGCCCAAUCUGGAACUUUUCAUCACCCCAGAGCAUCCUGUGCAGUGCUUCUCCCGGGGAGCCCUGCAGGCAGUGACCUCCAGCUCCGAGCCUGAUCCCACAUGAGCAGGAAGAAGACAGCCCAGGGAGGCUGCCCACAGCCACAAGCUCAUUUCUCAUGGCAAACCACAAAUGGGAGAUGCUAAGAAAUUAGAAUAGAGGAUGCUCCAGAGCAGACGCUCCUGUUUACAGAGCUGAAACUCAGUACUCAUUAAACAACUCCCUCCUGCAGCCACGCUGGGAGCUGACACUCUCCACACAUGCUUCAUGCACCCAGGCGCUCAUCCAGGGAUCAUCCUGUACCUCAAAUACCCCCAAGAACUGUCCUGCCCCAGGACCUUUGCACAUGCUGGACCCACUACCUGUGAUGCCCUCUUCUGGCUCACCACGUGGCUGGCUCCAUCUCAUUCAUUGGUCUCAGCC
rnacentral:lncRNA from 1 species